rnacentral:rRNA from 1 species
CCCUUAGAUGUUCUGGGCCGCACGCGCGCUACACUGACGAAGUCAGCGAGCAUGUCCUACGCCGACAGGUGCGGGGAAUCUUGUCAAACUUCGUCGUGAUGGGGAUUGAUUAUUGAAAUUCUUGAUCAUCAACGAGGAAUUCCUAGUAAGCGCAAGUCAGCAGCUUGCGUUGAUUACGUCCCUGCCCUUUGUACACACCGCCCGUCGCUACUACCGAUUAAAUGGUUUAGUGAGAUCUUCGGAUUGGCGCCACUGCGGCUCAGCAAUGGGCUCGGUGGAUGCCGAAAAGUUGAUCAAACUUGAUCAUUUAGAGGAAGUAAAAGUCGUAACA